GCUUACGGCCAUACCACCCUGAACCUGCCUGAUCUCGUCUGAUCUCGGAAGUUACACAGGGUCGGGCCUGGUUAGUACUUGUAUGGGAGACCACCUGGGAAUACCAGGUGCUGUAAGCU
ensembl:rRNA 5S_rRNA 5S ribosomal RNA